UCAAAAUGUCCUGGGCGGGGAGGUGUCUCUCGCUUGGGUCUCCUGCUCGGGAUCGAUCUACCCUUAUCCCCUUUUCCAAAGCGGCGCAAACAAUUACCAGCACGUUCUCAGCGCUAGGUCUAAUUGGGUGAGUUUUUAUUGUAGAAAUGCGCCCCUGAAGAUGUGAGACGCGUAGGUGGGCCCCUGCGCCUUUCCACCGGCCUCCCACUGCCCGUGCUCACAGAAGAAACUGGGUCCUUAGACCCAGGCGGGACCCACUGAAACCCCGCGUUCAGUCAUUUCCCAGGGGGAUGCGGCCCCCCAGUGCCAACCUUCCAAAGUUCAGGUGAGUUCACGACGCUCGGAUCCUAGUGGGGUCCUCCUCGGUGUCAAGGAGCAAGAGAGGCCGUAGCAGCUGUGGGAAACAGCCACAGGGCCUGCGAGUCCAGACGGGUAGCUCCAGGCUAGUUGCACGCUUGCGGUUCCUGCCCCUUCCGUGUGCAAAGUAAGGAAGUCAGCAGGCGGCGAGCAAGCAAGACGGGCUGGCGCGCCGUCUUUCAGGAAGGUUUCCCGACCCGACCGCCGUCUUUCGGGAAGGUUUCCCGACUGGACCCUCUGUCCAGAGGAAGAAAGAUUUGGCCAGGGGAUCAGAAUCACGGUACCUACAGGUACUGGGAUCGAGACCCUACACAGGCUCCCGACGCCUCGGUCUCCCUUUCCUCUCGGGUUGCCACUCUAGUUCAGGAAGGGUCUUUGGGUCAGGGCACCGUGUUCCCAGGGGCCAGCGAUCCCCGGUGUCGUGCCCUCCCUACCAGGCUCAAGCUGGCUGCUCUUGGCUAGGUCGGGACGGGGCGCCCGGCGGCCGUGGCUCAGUCCCAAGCUACACCGGCCGCGUCUUCCAGGGCGCGCGGGCGUCGCGCAGCGAGCGGUCGUGGGGCAGCGCGGCGAAGGCCGAAUGGCGCAGCUGGCAACCGAUGAAGAGGACGACGAGCGCCACCGAGAGCAGCAGCAGGAAGAAGAGCAGCAGGGAGGAGAAACUCCCAGGAGCCUGGAGAGAAUGGCUCGGCACAGCAGAUGCAGCCGUGGUGGCCAUGGAGCUGACCAGCCUCUUGGGAGUGAGCUGGCCACCUGAGCACGGUCCACUCAGCCCACACAAGCAGCAGCACCACCUCGCUGACAGGAGCUUCGUCAAUGCCUGCCGCCUCCUCCUUCCAUAACGAGGGACCACCUAGCAGGGACUUUCACUUUUAUUUCCACAGAGAACCUUGUGGUUAGAAGUCCAAUGGGUCUAGGCUGUGGGAAUCUUCUUAUUAACCACAAACAGAUGUCAAAAGGAUCUUUCCUAAUACUGUAGAUACUGCACUUGGCUCGUGUGGGAGUCCACUGUCUGUGGAAACAUUACUCGUCUAUUUUUCAGGUCUGCAGAGCCCAGACUGAAAAACACAUUAAAAAAAUGGUUUUGUGAAAAAUAACAAUUCAGACACCCUGGAGCCUAAGGAAAAAAAAAACACAGAAAGCCUCUGAAGUCUGAAGGAGCUGUCUUCCCUUACAACAAAGACCUCACAAAAGCAGAAGGAUUGACAAACAGCUGAAUGAACACCUGAAAUGCUAACAGUCGAGAAAUCGAAUGAAGAGACAAAAAAGCAGCAAACUUAGUAACUAAAUGUGUGUGAACGAUGGUGCUUUUAUCUUCUUGGGAACACUAAGUGAUUUCUCAGAGCCACAACAUGUGAGAAGCUGAUGGAAUAUGUGCUCAGUGACAGCAGCUCUGCCUAGGGCCUGGAUUGUAAGAAGGAGGGGGUGAAUUGGGCUGCUCAUGUUCUCUGCACAUUUGGAAGCUGCUGUGGGAGGAAAGCAAUGCUACUUGGAAGGCCACUGGUAGGCCCAAGGAAAGAGAGGAACCAUACUCAGAUCCCCCCUCAAAUUGUCCUUGCUGCUGUUGACAGCAAAAGUGCCCCAGUGCCUUCUGCUCCUUGCCUCCUCACUGUGUGCUUGGAAGGCUCAAAUAGGUCUCUUCCUGGUGACUGUCAAACACAGGCAAGAAAGGUUCUGAGGAGGGUGCUGGUGCAAAACUACGAAGAUAAAUAAUAGGCAGGUGUCCAGGCAGCAUGACGUGGUGAGAGAGGGGGGGCCCUCUGAGUCAGAGAGAUCUCAAUUCAGUCACUUGUGUGGCCUUGGCCACUGAGCCUCAAUUCCCUCAUCUGUUACAUGGGGUUGAAGACAGUGCCCAUCUCCAAGGAAUAUGGGAGAGUACACGUGAGCUAGUGUCCAGCCUGCAUCCAGGUAUCUUUUAGUGACAUCUCAGGGUUUACUCCAAUUGUGAGCAGAUGAUGACUCAGGACGAUGCCACACAGCCUAGCAGGGUGGAGCCAAGAGCCAAUGUGCAAAGACUGCUUUCUCUCAGCCCCUUUCCUCUGAUGCCUACUGGCUGGCUUUUUGUUUCUUUUCUGUGACAACUAUUUGAAUAAGUCACCUCAGGCUUCUUCUGUGGAGUCACAAAUUACAAAAUGAGCAAAGCUUUCCAAGGUCAUCAGUUGCCUGAAGCUGUAGAUGACCAAUCUCUGUAAUCACAGCAGGAAGUUCCUGGGGAGAUUCAAGGCAGUAUGGACUCAACCAGCGAGGACGGAAGACAGAGAUGGGACUGCUUUGAGACUGCUUUUGAAAAUGGUCUCCUGCUAGGCGUGGUGGCUCAUGCCUGUAAUCCCAGCACUUUGGGAGGCCGAGGCAGGUGGAUCACCUGAGGUCGGGAGUUUGAGACCAGCCUGACCAACAUGGUGAAACCCCAUCUCUACUAAAAAUACAAAAUUAGCCAGGCAUGGUGGCGCAUGCCUGUAAUCCCAGCUACUCGGGAGGCUGAGACAAGAGAAUCACUUGAACCUGGGAGGCGGAGGUUGCAGCGAGCCGAGAUCGCACGAUUGCACACCAGCCUGGGCAACAAGAGUGAAAUCUGUCUAAAAUCAAUAAAUAAAUAAAGUAAAAAAAAAAAGUAAAAAAAGAAAAGAAAAUGGUCUCUUUCAGAAAGGAUUCAUUCUGGAAUGGGACAUUCACACAGAAUUGAUCUUCCUUUAUCUCAGGAGCUAAUUCUGCUCAAAACCUAGGAGAGAUUUGGCCCUAACCCAUUGGGUAUCUAUCUUUUCUGUGACACAGAUAAUCUAUACUUCUCUCUGAAAAGCUGAGAAAUAAAAAUACUUUCACUGACCAAAGGCUUUGGUCUGUAAAAUAGCUCAAAGCAGAUCAAACCAGUCAGUGCCAAUUUUGUGCGCGAUUAAACACAAGAUUUGCCCAUUGCUAAUUUUUCGCCUGUCAUCUGAUAGAACUAUAAGCUCUUUGAGGGAUGAGCCAUUUCUUAAUUGUGCAAUUAAAUUCUCCUAACUGCACAGCUGGCUUCUGAAAUAUGGUUGGAGAGAUUCAGUUAGAGACCUGUAUCUAAAAGAUCUAAGUCUGUAAUUCUCCCUGUGGGAAGGUGGCACCAGGGGCACAUCACCUCCACCCAAAGGAAUGCUCAGGACAGCUUAAAAUUUACAUCUGAUAAGAAAUGAUCAGCAUAGGUGAAACUGCUGAUCAUCGAGAAGUGGAAGACAGGAAAGGAGUGGCCUGCCCUUUUAUAAUUGAUCAUCUGUAGCUAUCGUUUAUCACUGGCGCAUGGGCUGAUCCAAACGGAUACAGAGAUCUGGCAUUCAUUUCCAAAAGCAAUGCAAGGAUUGGAAGCAUAAAAGUUCUUUUUCUAAUUUUUCUGACAACAGACUUGGCAGGCUGGCAGUCCAAGUCUGAAGACACCUAUAUCUACUUGACUGCUUAAGACAGAAACCUGUGAGCCAUGCUGGGUGUGCCUCGCCCUCCCCAUAUGUGCCCAGCAGCUAUAUAUCCAGAAAGUGUAUAGCAUCUGUCUGCUUUUCUCUAUCACCCUGCUCGUACCCCAAUCCAAGCAACCAUGCCUUGUACCUGAAUGACUGUCACAUCCUCCUCACUGGUAUCCCUGCUUUUACUCUUGUCCCCACCUGUCUCUUCUCAUUAUAGCAGUUAGGUGGUUUUCUUAAAGCGCGAAUACAAUUUCAUCAUCUCCCCUCCUGGGCAAAGUUACCCUCUCCCCCAUCCUGACAGUGGUCUGGCCCUCUGACCUCACUCCCUCCACCCUCUGCUUCCACAGGGCCCAGCUGCCCUGGACCUGCCACCCUUCUCUUCCUCUGCCUGGAAGGCCAUAUAUGGCUGCCUCCUGCAUCCGAGUGGUCUCGGCUGACUGUUCUCUCCUUGAAGAUGUCCUCUCUGAAAACUAUAUCUAGGCUGAAGCUCCCUAUUUUUCUCUGUUUUUGAGUCCUCCUGUUUGCUUUUUGUCACUAUUACCAGUUUGAGGGCAUACACUUAUCUGUGUGUUGACUUGUUUAUUGUCCAUCAUCACUAGACUGGAGGUGCCACUGAGGGAGGAACCACAUCUGUAUCUGUAUCCCCAGGAAGUAGCACAGUGCCUGACAUAUAGUAAGUACUCAAUAAAUAUUUGUACAAUAAAGGAAGGAAUGAAGCUGUGUUCUCGGGGGAUGACACAGUCAUGGGACUAAAUCUGUGUCUUAGUGGAGUCUACUUCUGCCCAUGCUUGGAUGCUUGGGAAAGGGGUGGUUACCUGGUAUCUGGUGGGCUUGCUCAAAGUGUUAUUUGCUGUCAGAUUUUCAGAAUUCCUCAUGCCAGCCUGGUAGCGAGUCUUCUGGAUAAAACAAACAAACCCACACACAUCACACAGAAAAACAUACAUGCAUCCCUACAUAUCUCGUAGGACUUGAACAGUAUCCAUAUACGGGGCUGUCUCAGUGAAGCAGCUUUUGAAAGCUGAUUUACCUGGUGCUGCUUGGCUUCCUAGAACAUUGUUCCUAGGACCUUUAGCUCUGUAGGAUGUUAAUAAGGGUUACAGAAUAUUUAGUCAACUUGGUUGGAAAGCACUGAAUUAAGGUUACAUGGAUGUCUUUUCUCCAGGGGUUUUAACAUACUAAUAAACACUGAGAAUCCCCAGGAAAGCCAGACAGUGGGAAGGAAACCUUUUUCUCAGAGAUCAUUUUCCAGAUACUUUCUGAGAAAAGCUGUUCCAUUUCCAAGUCCACUAAGGGGUUCCCUUCACUGGGGUCAUGGCUUAGCCAGGCAGCUUACUAUGUCCCCAGCAGGGCACCUCUCCAAGGGGUUGCAAGGAGAAAGGAGGGUAUCACAGUAGCCUCUGCUGGCAUUGGAGCUUUCAGAUGUGUCCAGGUAGACUCUACAGAGUACCGGCCCUCCCAGCUCCUGGCUCCCCUUGCAUGGGGUGGGGGAGGGCAGCCAUAUGACUCAAACACACUCUAGACUCGCCUGCCCCCUCCUGCUGCCUUCUCCAGCCUCAUAAACCACAUGCUACCUACCUUGAAUUUGGAAUUCAGCAUGCCCAUUUCAAGGUCAUUUUCACAGCUUUUGGCCUUAGAUUUGCAGAGUUUUAUGAGGCACAUCUUGAUUCUCAU
rnacentral:lncRNA from 10 species